UUUAUAAUCUGGCGCUUUCAGCGUCCGAGUUGUAAUCUCUAGAAGUGUUUUCCGCGUUGGACCGCACAUAAGUCUGUUGGAAUACAGCGGCACAGUGGUGAGACCCCCGUAUACGGUGCGGAUGCCCAAUGCUUUGUGAUACACUCUCGAAGAGUCGAGUUGUUUGGGAAUGCAGCUCAAAUUGGGUGGUAAAUUCCAUCUAAAGCUAAAUAUUGGCGAGAGACCGAUAGCGAACAAGUACCGUGAGGGAAAGAUGAAAAGCACUUUGGAAAGAGAGUUAACAGUACGUGAAAUUGUUGGAAGGGAAACGCUUGAAGUCAGACUUGCUUUUCGGGGUUUACUCCGGUUGGCAGGCCAGCAUCAGUUUUCCGGGGCGGAAAAUCACGGUUAGAAGGUAGCAGUUUCGGCUGUGUUAUAGCUUUCCGUUGGAUACGUCCUGGGGGACUGAGGAACGCAGUGUGCUUUUAGCGAGGGCUUCGGCCCUUUCACACUUAGGAUGCUGGUGGAAUGGCUUUAAACGACCCGUCUUGA
rnacentral:rRNA from 1 species